rnacentral:lncRNA from 1 species
CCCAAGAACAUUUCCCCCUGCUGUUUGACAGGCUCCACCUUUCCUCCUUCAGAGGAGUAUACUGUUCUUGAAACAAUUGGAAACAGAACCUCUCUAGCUGUUCGGAAGGAAACAAAUGCUCUCUGGUCCUGUUUUGUACUUGAUUCAGCUGGUGAAGACCAAGAAGUCUUGGCCAGUCAAGUAUUCCAUAUGGCAAUGAAGACUGUUAACCUAUGCACUUUCACUUCUGGAACUGAGCCCCCAAGGAUGUACCAGAAGCUAUAUGAGUUACAGAUCCUCAAGGUACUACUAGCCCAACAGCUGGAAAGGAUCUUUAUCAAGAAUCAAGGAUGUAUAAUCACUUAA